AGAAAGGAGGGAGAGAGGCCUGCGCUGCAUAGCUUUGAAAGCCCACAUCAGGGUCUACGCACGUGGACACACUCAGGCACAUCUCCCCUCUCUCUCUCUCUCUCUCUCUCCAGUGCCUCCAUCUUCAUCCGUCCUAACCCUGUUCUCUGCAUCGACUGGUUAACAUCGUGCAAAUCCCGGGGAAGAGUGGAAUGCUUAGCCUUCAUCUCGACCCAUUUAGCAGCGCGCUUUGUUGUGUCUAGUCCGCGAUGUUGUAUCAGUGAGCUGUUGCGGAUGCAGAGUUGGCUUCUGAUGAUGAUGAUCAGAUUUUAACUUUCCCCCAAACCCCAAACACGAGCCCCCUGUUUUUUCAUUCUGAUUAUCUCCCAGAUCUGUUGUAUCCAUAAAUGGUAUCGUGACCCUUUCCUAUUCCCUUGCCCACUGUUGCCCAAAUGUCAGUGGCACCACCCACUUUGUGUGCAUAUUUUGUUUCACUGCUGUACGAUCUCUCUGCUCCUGCGAGCUGGCUGUGUAGAGCCUAUCUAAGAUUGCUGACUUCAGACGGUGUUAUACAGGUUGUAGGCUCUUGCAGUCUGCCCAAGCUUUUACUUCAUACUUCAAAGUUCAGAACCACCACCCCUUUCCUUUGGCUAACAAGAAAAUAGAAAAGAACACAUUUAUACCCCACAAAAAAACAUCAACCAUAAAUUGACUAAAUUACCUUAAACAACGGUAGACCCCACCCUCGACUCUCUCUUGCUCCCUCUUUAGAGUCGUUUGGAUGGGGGACCACGAACUCAAAGAAUAGGGAGCGAGACUGUAAAGUUUAUCCAUCCGUCGGUGAAUUGCUUAUGCAGAAUUUUCAAGCUGCAAGAUUUCGAAGGAAAUAAAGCCAACCAACAGGUCGAUGCUUCAUUGAUUACUACAGGAGUUCAUGAACAAGGCGGUCAGCAAUAUUUUUCACGAAUUUACUUGGCCAAGGACACACAGUGACCACCCUGACUUGAGUUGAGGAACGUACAGAGUGUUCAAUAGCGCAUUUAUGCUUUUUCGAGAGAAUAGUCGUUCUGUCUUUCAACGAG